rnacentral:rRNA from 1 species
CCUACGGGAGGCAGCAGUAGGGAAUCUUCCACAAUGGACGCAAGUCUGUUGGAGCAACGCCGCGUGAGUGAAGAAGGGUUUCGGCUCGUAAAGCUCUGUUGUUAAAGAAGAACGUGGGUAAGAGUAACUGUUCACCCAGUGACGGUAUUUAACCAGAAAGCCACGGCUAACUACGUGCCAGCAGCCGCGGUAAU